UUUAAAUUGAGAGUUUGAUCCUGGCUCAGGAUGAACGCUGGCGGCGUGCUUAACACAUGCAAGUCGAGCGAUGAAGUUUCCUUCGGGAAACGGAUUAGCGGCGGACGGGUGAGUAACACGUGGGUAACCUGCCUCAUAGAGUGGAAUAGCCUUCCGAAAGGAAGAUUAAUACCGCAUAACGUUGAAAGAUGGCAUCAUCAUUCAACCAAAGGAGCAAUCCGCUAUGAGAUGGACCCGCGGCGCAUUAGCUAGUUGGUGGGGUAACGGCCUACCAAGGCGACGAUGCGUAGCCGACCUGAGAG
rnacentral:rRNA from 1 species